ACACGCUGGGUGGUGAGCCGCAGCACGCCGAUGGCCUCGUCGUGGGUGGCCUGCCGCAGGUCGAUGCCGUUGACCUGGGGGGAGGUGACGCUCAUUUAGAAACAGCCGCAGUGAUUUUGCCGAGCAGCGCAGAGCCUGGAGCAGCUGCAGAGCCACGAGGAGGAACACGCAGCCAGAAGAGAGCCACUUGGACCGGAGAGGAUUCACCAGCGCCUGCAGCGCAGCCUGCAGCUCCACCUGCCCGGCCAGUAGAGAGGUCUCGUGCCCCGGAGGACCACCAGCAUGACACGAUGACAUGAUGUUAUUAUAGUGAAGCCAUAUUGUAAAUAGUCUGUCAAUAGUUAUAUAAUGUAGAAUUUUUAUUUUUUUUAUGUACAAUACAUAUUUAUAAAAAAAAAAAAUUAAUGGUCAUUUUUUAUUUGCACACACCCCAUGCAACUUUAUCUGCAAUAUGAAGUCAUUUCUCAGUCCCAUCUUUAUCAUUUUGGUGAAUGUGUCAUUUUUACUAAAAAAACAUUAAUACAAAAUUUGGUUUUCCUCAUUUAUUCAAUUCAGUUUAUUUGUAGAGCCCAAUUUCACAAAUUACAAAAUUGUCUCCGAGUGCUUUACAAUCUGUGCAUAUAGACAUCCCUGACCUUUGACCUCACAUCGGAUCAGGAACAACAGAGGAGGAUCCCUCUCCAGGAUGGACAGGUGCAAUUACAUGUAUCUAGCAUUGUAUUCAGAUAUUUCACUGCUUUUGUGAACCUAUGACCUUUGGUAAACCAAUUUCAAACACCAAAACAGUUCGUCCACAUGAGUAAAGGUGUGUUUUCAGAAGAGAUAUGAAUAAUUUAAAAAAAUCGAACUUCAAUUGUCAGCUUUAGGGUCAUAUUUUCUCGAGUAAAGCGCUGUCGGUUUGUUUGUGACGGGGUUCAUACACAUGCUGACCAGAUGACGCCGCACAUCGCCCUCAAUUUAAAGACCCCUUUCUAGUUUCUGCUGCAGGCAGGAUAUUUAAUACAGUCUAUCUCUCAGGACAAUCCGUCCAUUAUUUUGCGGGGUUUAAAACAAUUAGAAAUUAUUGAGCUUGAGUAUUUCGUUGGGUAAUAAUUUGUUUUGAAUGUUGAAAGUGAGCAUUGAUCUCUUUCCAGUAAAUGUUGAUUACUUUAACUUUGCACCUUAAAUUGAAAUGUAUAAAAAACAGACGCAAUCUCCAGGUUUAAUAAAUUUCAUUGCGUGUCCAAAUGCUCCUGGCCCGGCCCCUCUGUCACAUUUUAGAACCGAAUGUGGCCCGCAGGUCAAAAAGUUUGCCCACCCCUGGUCUAAUCCUAACACAUUUUU